rfam:Salmo salar isolate Sally breed double haploid chromosome ssa28, whole genome shotgun sequence.
UGCAUUCACUACUGUAAGUCGCUCUGGAUAAAAGUGUCUGCUAAAUGACUCACG